AUUGAACGCUGGCGGCAGGCUUAACACAUGCAAGUCGAGCGGAGUGAUGGUGCUUGCACUAUCACUUAGCGGCGGACGGGUGAGUAAUGCUUAGGAAUCUGCCUAUUAGUGGGGGACAACAUCUCGAAAGGGAUGCUAAUACCGCAUACGUCCUACGGGAGAAAGCAGGGGAUCACUUGUGACCUUGCGCUAAUAGAUGAGCCUAAGUCGGAUUAGCUAGUUGGUGGGGUAAAGGCCUACCAAGGCGACGAUCUGUAACGGGUCUGAGAGGAUGAUCCGCCACACUGGGACUGAGACACGGCCUAGACUCCUACGGGAGGCAGCAGUGGGGAAUAUUGGACAAUGGGGGGAACCCUGAUCUAGCCAUGCCGCGUGUGUGAAGAAGGCCUUAUGGUUGUAAAGCACUUUAAGCGAGGAGGAGGCUCUUUUGGUUAAUACCCAGGAUGAGUGGACGUUACUCGCAGAAUAAGCACCGGCUAACUCUGUGCCAGCCGCCGCCGUAAGAC
rnacentral:rRNA from 1 species